UACGUAGGGUGCAAGCGUUAAUCGGAAUUACUGGGCGUAAAGCGUGCGUAGGCGGCUAUGUAAGACAGAUGUGAAAUCCCUGGGCUUAACCUAGGAACUGCAUUUGUGACUGCAUUGCUAGAGUGUGGUAGAGGGAGAUGGAAUUCCGCAUGUAGCAGUGAAAUGCGUAGAUAUGCGGAGGAACACCAAUGGCGAAGGCAAUCUCCUGGGCCAAUACUGACGCUCAUGCACGAAAGCGUGGGGAGCAAACAGG
rnacentral:rRNA from 1 species